AGAACGAACGCUGGCGGCAGGCCUAACACAUGCAAGUCGAACGCCCCGCAAGGGGAGUGGCAGACGGGUGAGUAACGCGUGGGAACGUACCCUUUGGUUCGGAAUAACCCGGGGAAACUCGGGCUAAUACCGGAUACGUCCGCAAGGAGAAAGAUUUAUCGCCGAAGGAUCGGCCCGCGUCGGAUUAGCUAGUUGGUGGGUAACGCCC
rnacentral:rRNA from 1 species